rnacentral:rRNA from 1 species
UGGCUCAGGAUGAACGCUGGCGGUAUGCUUAACACAUGCAAGUCGAACGAAAGUCUUCGGACUUUAGUGGCGGACGGGUGAGUAACGCGUGAGAAUCUGCCUAUAGGUUGGGGACAACAGAUGGAAACGUCUGCUAAUACCCAAUGUGCCGAGAGGUGAAAGCUUUAGUGCCUGUAGAUGAGCUCGCGUCCGAUUAGCUAGUUGGUUAGGUAAGAGCUGACCAAGGCGACGAUCGGUAGCUGGUCUGAGAGGAUGAUCAGCCACACUGGGACUGAGACACGGCCCAGACUCCUACGGGAGGCAGCAGUGGGGAAUUUUCCGCAAUGGGCGAAAGCCUGACGGAGCAAUACCGCGUGCGGGACGAAGGCUUUUGGGUCGUAAACCGCUUUUGUUAGGGAAGAAGAACUGACGGUACCUAACGAAUCAGCAUCGGCUAACUCCGUGCCAGCAGCCGCGGUAAUACGGAGGAUGCAAGCGUUAUCCGGAUUUAUUGGGCGUAAAGCGUCCGCAGGUGGUUUAUCAAGUCUGCUGUUAAAGCGUGGGGCUUAACCCCAUAUAGGCAGUGGAAACUGAGAGACUAGAGUACGGUAGGGGUAGCGGGAAUUCCCAGUGUAGCGGUGAAAUGCGUAGAUAUUGGGAAGAACACCAGCGGCGAAGGCGCGCUACUGGGCCGAAACUGACACUCAUGGACGAAAGCUAGGGGAGCGAAAGGGAUUAGAUACCCCUGUAGUCCUAGCUGUAAACGA